UCGCCGUCCCGUUCGUCCUCACCUGCGUCACCCAGCGCCUCCGCCGUCGUCUUCGCCUUCCCUCCCCAGACUGCACCUCCCCGUCGUCCUCAGAUACACCUCGGCCAGCCGGCGCUGUUCCCGGCGCCACCUGCUGAUGGAGGACAACGAGGAGAUGCCAGGGGCGGCGGGGAAGAAGGAGGAGAUGCCGGGAGCGGCGGGGAAGGAGGAGGAGAUGUCGAAGACAGCGGGGAUGGACGAGGAGGAGAAGACGCCGGACGGAGAGGAGGAGAAGAAUCCGGCAGGCUCCCAGGGACCUACCACAUCCUGCCCACAAGUCCAAAUCCCCUGGAAUUGAGUUUCACCAGCUAUAAAAUAAAGAGGCUGAAGUUAUAGCAAACGGAGAGAGUUCAUUCACAGAGGUACCAAGCACACCUAAGGUACAUACAGAAUGGAUAACUGCCCUUUUUCUCGCUUUGUUUGAGUCGGACAGACUGAUAAGGUAAAGCAUGUGUCUGAAACUCUGAAUGUGAUGCUACUUGGUUUUAGCCAAGCCACGGGUGACGACAAUGAUACUGAACCUUUUCAGGUAUUGGUCAUUUGCAUGUGGAUUCAGGUUCAGGUAAUGGAACAUUUUCAGUGAACUGCAGGAGGGUGGGCGGAGGGCGCGCUCACCGGUGCUAUGGCGUCCUGCUCGACGAC